rnacentral:lncRNA from 1 species
UUAAGGUACGAUUUUAUCUACGCUUCCCUUACAUCCGCAUCCCCUGACACAGACCGUACCGAACGCCGAACUCGGCUGCCCGGUGCGCCGCCUCCUCCCAUUCCGCGCAGCGCAGCGCAACCACGGCCAAAAACCCACAGCCAAAAGCCCACGGCCCAAAAACCCACGGCCCAAAAGCCCACGGCCCAAAAGCCCACGGCCCAAAAGCCCACGGCCCAAAAGCCCACGGCCAAAAGCCCACGGCCCAAAAACCCACGGCCCAAAAACCCACGGCCAAAAGCCCACGGCCCAAAAGCCCACGGCCCAAAAGCCCACGGCCCAAAAGCCCACGGCCCAAAAACCCACGGCCCAAAAACCCACGGCGGGACCCCAGCAACCUGCCGCCUCGCUCGGGCCGCCGCCCGCCAGGCCCCGCCGUGGGGCAGCACGGGGGCAGCGGGAAGGGCGGCUCUGCGCCCCGGCCCUGGGACCGGACCCCACGACCGGACCGCACGGCCCGACCUCACCGCCCGGCCGCGGUUCCGCCGCCCCCCGCUCACCUCCCGCCGGGCCGCGGCUCGCGUAGCGCUCGCCGUUGGAGCGCGGCGCCGCCCUCCGGCUGCUGCCUCCGCCCCUCGGGCCGGGCGCUCCGCGCGUGUCUGGCGCUUCUGUCGUUUUCUGCGCCCUCCCGCUUUGCCCGGCCCCCCCUCCCGUCCCCGCCGCCUCGGAGGGCGCUUCCGGGCUUCGUGCGGCUCUGCGAGCCGCGCGGCGAGUCCCGUCCCGUCGGCUCCUGCUUAUUUUUAUUUUUUUACGGCUGAAAUUAAGGACGGAAAACGCCCGGGCCGCAGCCGCGCGGCUCCUCCCGCAGGGGCAGCGCCGGGACCGCCCAGACGCGGCUCCGAGCCCGGGCCCAGCCCGCGGGGGGCGGCGGUUCCGCGGUGCGGGCGGCUGCUCAGCGUGCUGGGACGCAGCCGGCACGGCGGGGAGUGCUGCCCGGCACCGCGUGCUGUCCUGAGCCGCCACGGCCGGGCCUGCAGCCGGUAUCGGUGCCGGUAUCCGUGCCGGUAUCGGUGCCGGUAUCCGUGCCGGUAUCGGUGCCGAUGCCGGUGUUGUUGCCGGGCUCGGAGCCGCGCCACCCUGCGCUGUGCCAGCCAGAGGUCGGCAAAAUGUGCCUUGGCGUUUCUGCUUCCGUGA